AUUGAACGCUGGCGGAAUGCUUUACACAUGCAAGUCGAACGGCAGCACGGGUGCUUGCACCUGGUGGCGAGUGGCGAACGGGUGAGUAAUACAUCGGAACGUACCCAGUCGUGGGGGAUAACGUAGCGAAAGUUACGCUAAUACCGCAUACGUCCUGAGGGAGAAAGCGGGGGACCGUAAGGCCUCGCGCGAUUGGAGCGGCCGAUGGCGGAUUAGCUAGUUGGUGGGGUAAAGGCCUACCAAGGCGACGAUCCGUAGCGGGUCUGAGAGGACGGCCCGCAACACUGGGACUGAGGAACGGGCCAGACUCCUACGGGAGGCGGCAGUGGGGAAUUUUGGACAAGGGGCGAAAGCCUGAUCCAGCCAUUCCGCGUGAGUGAAGAAGGCCUUCGGGUUGUAAAGCUCUUGCGGCAGGGAAGAAACGGCUUGGGAUAAUACCCCGGGCUAAUGACGGUACCUGAAGAAGAAGCACCGGCUAACUACGUGCCAGCCGCCGCCGUAA
rnacentral:rRNA from 1 species